rnacentral:misc_RNA from 1 species
GAUGAAGAACGUAGCAAAAUGCGAUAAGUAAUGUGAAUUGCAGAAUUCAGUGAAUCAUCGAAUCUUUGAACGCACAUUGCGCCCUCUGGUAUUCCGGAGGGCAUGCCUGUCCGAGCGUCAUUGCUGCCCUCAAGCACGGCUUGUGUGUUGGGCCCCGCCCCCCGAUCCCGGGGGGCGGGCCCGAAAGGCAGCGGCGGCACCGCGUCCGGUCCUCGAGCGUAUGGGGCUUUGUCACCCGCUCUGUAGGCCCGGCCGGCGCCUGCCGAUCAACCAAACUUUUUUCCAGGUUGACCUCGGAUCAGGUAGGGAUACCCGCUGAACUUAAGCAUAUCAAUAAGCGGAGGA